rnacentral:tRNA from 1 species
UGGGAUGUAGCUUAGUGGUAGAGUAUAUGCUUAGCAUGCAUGAGGACCCGGGUUCCAUCCCAA